rnacentral:lncRNA from 1 species
AGCUAUAUGUAAUGCCAGAGGAAACUCCAAAUCCACCACCGGAGCCAAUUGCUGCCUUUCUUUCUCCAGUUCUGUGGCAGGUGUCUCUUGUAUUCUUUCCUUCAAGUGGAAGAUCAACUGAUUUUUGUUGAAAAGAAAGUACUCAUGCUAUUAUUAAUAAAUUUAAGCCGUUCAUUUCCAGUAAUUAAUCGCAUUUGACGCAUUGAGUUAUAGAUUGCAUUUUAGUAGUUUUAUUAUGGUCAAGCAUACUAAAUUGGAUUCUAGACUUUUGUAAGGAAUUUAGAGUUGGUAUAACAUCAUUAACUGGAAUGUGUGACCAAGUUAUGCAGAUCCUACACAAUGAGAAAACUUCAGCUUGGUUCUUAAAAAGGCUCCAUGUGACACACUGAAGUGGUUUUUUACUCUUGCUGCAGUUAAACAGUCCUGAUCUCUUUGACAUGUACUCUGCUGGAAUUGUAUUCUUACAAAUGGCAAUACCGUCCUUAAGGUCCACAUUAGGUUUAAAAAAUUUUAAUCUAGAAUUGAAGACAGUGGGAUAUGACCUGAGAAAGUGGAGGGAGAGAACAAGGAUGAGGCCUGACCUUAGCAUUCUCGAGCUUGAUUCUGGUAGAGGUUGGGACUUGGCCACAAAGCUUAUUUCAGAGAGAGGUUUCCUGAGAAGGGGUCGAUUAUCUGCUG